rnacentral:tRNA from 1 species
UGCCACAUCCUCAGUUGGAAGACCAUGAGACUUUAAAUCUCAGGGUCAUUGGUUCAAUCCCAAUGUUGGUGGCAA